AGUGAACGCUGGCGGUAGGCCUAACACAUGCAAGUCGAACGGCAGCACAGUAAGAGCUUGCUCUUACGGGUGGCGAGUGGCGGACGGGUGAGGAAUACAUCGGAAUCUACUUUUUCGUGGGGGAUAACGUAGGGAAACUUACGCUAAUACCGCAUACGACCUACGGGUGAAAGCAGGGGAUCUUCGGACCUUGCGCGAUUGAAUGAGCCGAUGUCGGAUUAGCUAGUUGGCGGGGUAAAGGCCCACCAAGGCGACGAUCCGUAGCUGGUCUGAGAGGAUGAUCAGCCACACUGGAGCUGAGACACGGUCCAGACUCCUAAGGGAGGCAGCAGUGGGGAAUAUUGGACAAUGGGCGCAAGCCUAAUCCAGCCAUACCGCGUGGGUGAAGAAGGCCUUCGGGUUGUAAAGCCCUUUUGUUGGGAAAGAAAAGCAGCAGGUUAAUACCCCGCUGUUCUGACGGUACCCAAAGAAUAAGCACCGGCUAACUUCGUG
rnacentral:rRNA from 1 species